AUUGAACGCUGGCGGCAGGCCUAACACAUGCAAGUCGAACGAGUGGCGGACGGGUGAGUAAUGUCUGGGAAACUGCCUGAGGGAGGGGGAUAACUACUGGAAACGGUAGCUAAUACCGCAUACCAUCAGAUGUGCCCAGAUGGGCUUAGCUAGUUGGUGGGGUAACGGCUCACCAAGGCGACGAUGCCUAGCUGGUCUGAGAGGGUGACCAGCCAAGCCGGGACUGAGACACGGUCCAAACUCCUAGGGUAGGGCGCAGUGGGGAAUAUUGUACAAUUGGAGAAAGCCUGAUGCAGCCAUGCCGCGAGUACGAAGAAGGCCUUCGGGUUGUAAAGUACUUUCAGCGGGGAGGCGUUACCCGCAGAAGAAGCGCCGGCUAACUACGUGCCAGCAGCCGCGGUAAUAC
rnacentral:rRNA from 1 species